GAAAGGACGGCAGCGGGCCGAUUUUCGAAAGGAACGGUGCGAGGAAAGUCCGGGCUCCAAGGGCAAGGAUAACUGCUAACGGCAGCCGGGGGCGACCCCAGGGAAAGUGCAACAGAAAUAUACCGCCGCAUUUUGCGGUAAGGGUGGAAAGGCGAGGCAAGAGCUCACCGCUUUCUGCGGUAACGCAGAAAACCUGUAAACCCUAUCCGGAGCAACACCGUACAGAAGAGUAAAGCGCCGGCCCGGCGCUCUUCGCAAAGGUGGCAUUUUAAGCUGCGCGGGCGACCGGCAGCGAAGAUAGAUUGCCGUCAUUACAGAACCCGGCUUAUUUUCCGGU
rnacentral:RNase_P_RNA from 1 species